rnacentral:lncRNA from 1 species
AUUAUACUGUCAUUGAAAAAUUGCACUACAUUGUGAGAGGAUCAAGAUGGCUUCAGGCAGUUCAGCUCUGUGUAGAGUAGGGAAAUACCUAAAUAAGUUGACACACUCUAGAAAAACAGGACUUGUUACUAUUGGUGAUAAGGAACUGCUACAAUGGCAAUGUGGAAUUCACUUUACUGACCAGGACCAAAUGUGUCUCCAUCAUGAAAAGGUGUUUUUAUUAUGAUAUGAAAGUUUACCAAAAUACUUCUCAGCUCCAUUUUCUGUCCAUAAGAAGCACAUUACAAAGUUACUAAGAGUGGAUGAUCAGACAACAGCCCUGCAACUACACUUAAAACCUGGACAAAAGCUGUGCCCUCAAUGCUGUAAAAGAAAUGAGGAUAAAAGAGAAUGUCAUUCUGAGGUAGAAAUACUUGGUGAAGAAUAUAAACCAGUGGAAAGUUCAGUUGACUAUGUUAACAAAGCUGCCCAAUCUCACGACUUUAUACCCCUCAAAAUAUCAGUUAGUAAAUGAGAUAAAUUAUCAUACAGAAAAGCUCCACACAGCUGUCAAGGCCAAAUGUGCCCAUGCCCUGGACUUACAUAUGGGUGACUUUGAAUCUACAGAAGAUGAGGGUGAAACUAACAAUGACCUGGAUAGACUGAUUGCUCUCUUGAAAGACAAAGUUAAAGUUUCUACCAGACAGGAAAAUAUAAGGUAAUUAACCCUCACACCAGAAAACUGGACUGGGAGAAGACAAUGCAGGAGUUUGGUGUAACAAAAUAUAUGGUGAAGGUAGCUGAAGAAAAAAGGUAGCUUAGCUGAUCAUGAUAUAAAAAAAGGGAGAGGCAUUUCCCAGGCAGUGACUGACAGGACUGUGGAUUUGUUCCAGUCAUAUGAAUAUUCCCACAUGUGCCCUGGUAAGGAGGAGUAUGUCACAAUUAGGGUGAAUGAUUCUAAAGAUUAUAAAAAAAACAAUUUCAAAGUGCUUUACCAUGAGUAUACCAAGAAAAACCCACAUGAUAAGGUUGGAUUCUCUAAAUUUUGUGAAUAAAGACCCAAGUGGUGUAUUCCAGUCCCUGCAUCUGGCAUGUAUUCAGAAUGUGUGUGUGUGUGAAAAGCACCAGAAUGUCAAACUUAUAACAGCUGUUAUUUCUGGCAACAAUGACUACAAAGACAUUCUGGGAAAAAUGGUUUGCAGUACAGAAAACUGCAACUGCAUACUCCAUCUUUGUGAAUCAUGCCCAGGUAAAACUGCUGUUCAGAAAUAUUUAUCAGAUUUAUUUACUUCACACGAUUUUGACUUUUACAAUGUAAAUUGUAUACAAGCAGUGGGUUCACACUGACAGGACCAGUCUUGUGUAUCUAACAGUGUGUUCAGGAGCUCACACAGAUAGCCUAUGAUGUGUUUGAUGGUCUCUGUCAGCACCAUUUGAUUGCCAAAGUUCAAUCCAGCUACAUCAGAAAGCUGAAGGAAGAUCUUCAUGAGGAUGAGGCAGUUGUUUUACUGGACUUUGCUGAAAAUUACAGCUUCAUCGAUCAAGGUGCUCUGUAACAGGUGGCCAUAUUGGCUAGUCGUUGGACUUUAAGUCCAGUUACAAUAGAUUUAUAUGAAAUCCAGGUAUAUCGUCACUAGUGGAGUACACAAGUCACCAACUUGAGGAAGUUUACAAUAAGAAUAAAGAAUCAACUCAAGAGACUGAGAUUCAAAAUACAACACUUUAAUGCAAUAUAUUAAGAUACUUGCUACAUCGAAAUUACCAAAAGUAUCUUGGAACAUGUUAAUAUCAAAUCGAUUAAAUUCAUCAAUUUGAGCCAGUAGCUGUUCUUCAAUUAAACUUCCUAUAACAUCCAUUAAAUUACUUGACACUACCGGCAAGUCAUUAAUUAAUACAUUGAAAGAAAUCUGUUCAGAUAUAACUUAAUAUUAAGCAUAUAUCUUAAUAUCUCUCCUUGUUUUCUUAACAACAAUCUUACAUCAAAGUUUUGACUAAUCCCUUUUUUUGGAUGUUGUGUCCAGGUUAAUGUAAACUUUUCUCUGUUAUGGUGGUGUCGAUUUAUAGAUAAUGUAAACAAUAUUGUUUGGACUGUAACUUAGUUUAUACUUGACAUAAAUCCUUCCUUUCAUGGUCAAGCAUUGUUGUGUAACUUCUCGUGCAUUCAUUAGCUGUGCUCAAUUUUUCUGCAUAUUAUAUGUAUGUAUAACACACAUGACAUUUUAUGAUAUUAUAAAUUUCCUUUCCUUGAAGCAUUUGAAUAUAGUGUAAAAUACUUCAAAUGCUUCAGCUGUGCAAGGCCAUCACUGGGACUAUUCUCAAACCACAGUCCACCCAUUUGUGGUAUAUAUUACAUAAUGGAAAGUGAGUUAAAAUGCUGGAAUGUAUGUAUUAUUUCAGAUUAACUCAAGCAUGACACUGUCACUAUACAUACAUUUAUUUCAAUGAAGGUGCCAUUCAUGAAGAAGACCCCAUAUUUCAGUGAUGGGGCUGCUAGUCAAUAUAAAAACUUCAAGAAUUUGACUAAUCUAUGGCACCACAAAAAUUACAAUAGACUUGAAGCAGAAUGGUAUUUGUUUUUGCAACAAGCCAUGGCAAGAGCUCACGUGAUGGUAUUAGUGAAGCACCUAGUCGUUUGGGCCAGCUUGCAGGCAACUAACUGUGAACGACCAAAUUUUGACAGCAACUCAUAUGUUCAACUGGGCAACUGCAAACAUUCACAGAGUUGAAUUUUAUUCUGUGCCUGCUAAUGAUGUUGCAAGCAAUGCAGCAAAGUUUCAUUUGUCUGAAUGUUUUACGGAAGUGCAGACUGUUGCAAGCACCCAGUCUCAUCACUGCUUCAUUCCAGUCUCUGAAGUGGAAAUGCAGAUGAAAAGGCUCUUUGCAUAUAAUGAUUUUACCAGGGUCACUUUAGGUGAGAAGCAGUCAACAGUAAUUUCUAGUGCACUGCCUGAUUUCAUGAACCAUAAUAAUUUGCAGCUUGGAAAGUAUGUUUCAUGUAUUUAUGACAAGGAAUGGUAUGUUGCAAGCAUUGUUAAAUGUUCUGUGAUACACUGUGAUGUGUUUAGCAACUUCAUGAAGCAAUCACACACAGGAAAUCUCUCCUGGCCUCCUGCAUCACAUAAAGAUCAGUUUUAGGUGCCAUUCCAGAAAGUAAUUUCUGUGAUUAAUGCUCCUGAACAAAAUGGAUAUAGUGCUCGUUUAUAUGCUCUCUGCACAUGAUGAGGCUCUAAUUAAAAAGAAAUUGCCAGCAUUUUGAAUAUGUUGAGCUGUGAUUGCUAACAUAAUCGAAGUAUUUAUGUUUCAAUUUCUUGUCUACAUCUGUAAUUUAGUUAUUUAGUAAUUUGGAAGUAAAAAAACAUUUUGCUUCAUAAA